rnacentral:snoRNA from 1 species
AAGACUAUACUUCAAGGGAUCAUUUCUAUAGUUCAUAAAAGUUACCUGUUGUAAAUGGUAGUUUUAGUAUUUGGAUCUCAAGUACC